CAUAAUAUGAAUCAUACAAUAAAAUUAAUUAAUUUGUAUUAUAAUGAUGUGCAUAUGAUUUGCAUUUACGUAUUUUGCUAAGUUAUCAAUUAUUAUCAUAUCGUAGUCAGAUAUGAUACUGUCAAUCAUGUAUUCAAGUGCAUUGCAAUAUCUUGUCAAAUAAUCUAUUUUAUAUUACGUGUUCACAUUUUUGUUCCCAGAUAUGAUGUGAUAGGAUGACUAAAAAAGCGUGAAAUAAAUGAUUAAAAAGACUAUCAUAACUCUCUAAUCUAAUAAAAUCUUAUUUUAAUGUAAGUCCCAGAUAAAUUAAAACGUAUAGAGUAUAAUAAAAUCACUUGUCGACGAAAGUUUUACAUAACUUUGAGACAAUGUGUCUUCAAAUUUAGUAGAAAAUUUGUCAUUGAGUCAAUCAUUUUUUGAUAAUAUUUUUUAAUACCUUCAUCGACUUCCAACACAAAAAUCGACAAAAUUGUGAAUUAAUACAUACAGUACAGCACCAUAAUCGUGAGCUAAAUAGUUUUACUAAAAAUACUCAUUCCUUCUUUAACAUGUUUAAAAAAGAGAUAACAUCUAAUAUUACGAAUAUCCACUCCACUUGUAUGCUACAAGAAUUACAUAUUUAUUACUAUCAGCCAUACGAAAGGCCGCGUUCUGCGCAACUUGCAACAAUUUAAAGCCUGAUAAAGACUACCCGGGUUUGAUAAAAGGAGAAAAAAAGCAGUUAAUUGGGCUAGGACUUCCUGGUAUUUGCUGCGGUUCGCAGUCGUUUUUACACUUAUCUGCGCACGUAAUUUCGCCAUUGAUACGUUUUUCCGUGUGCGGCCGUGCAUGCACCAAGUAUGCGUGUAAUCAUGUUACUCGUCGGAGUAGAAUUACGGCUCACGAGCGCGGCAACGGCGCGGCGGUCCACGCGCUGCUGAUCCUCUUCUGCCUUUUCUGGGGACCGGUUCCGGGCGAACCAGGUCCGAGGAGAGACACGUACCAGACCGGAACCGAACGGCAGCGUGCUCGCAGUUGGAAGUUGCCGGACCAUGAAUCGUGCGGACAUCUCGGGUUUCAGCACAAAGUUGCUUCCUAAAUCGCGCGAGCGAGCAUGCACAAGAGGAGCCGGUUACUCUGCAUUGAAAAUUAAACGAGAUAAGCUGCAAAGUUAGCCUACGAUAUCAGAUUACCAUGCGGUCGGUACGAUUAAAGCAAGGAUUAAAUGCAAUCGGUUGUGUGCAUUUAGUUGCUAUUUACUUGCUUGUUAUCUUUGGAUAUUCCUACUUGCUGAGAUUUGGUAAAAAUGUUAAGUAUGUAGCAACGAUGUAAUGCGCACUGGAACGCAAAAGAAGAAUUUGAGAAGUUUACGUUGCGUAUGCGGGAAAAAUUACCGUGUAAUUAGAUUGCGUUAAUAAGCGACUUGCUAAGUAUCUAGAAUAAGAAUUUUCAAGAUAGAAUAAUCAAUGAAGGCACUAGGGAAAGAUGUGGAUUAGAGACUGAUAAUUGUGUUAACAAGUUUUGGAGCUACAGUAUUAUACUUGUACACUUUUAAUUAUGUAAAGAAAAAUUAUCAUGGACUUUUAUGUAUUAUAUAUUGCAUAGUUCACGAGAGAUCGAGACUAUUAAACAUUUAUAUAAAUACAGGAAGUCAUCGCAUACGAUUUUUUUGACACAUUGUACAGUUCAUGAGAUAGACAUUGCACGAAGAUUUAAAUAAGUAAGGGUCGAGGUCGUUGUGCAUGAUGAUAUCAUUGCCACUCCGCUUCACCCAUUAAUGAUUUAACAAGGACGGCUAUUUCAUCUACUAACUGGAACACGCAUAAAGAAUCUUAUCGCUUCGUGUCGCAACUAUUAUUAUACCUCUCUGAUUUUUGUAUAAUAUCCAUUAUUUAUUGUGUCAAAGCGCAUUUCUAAACCGAUAAGUAAUGAUUAUGAUAAAGCAGCGAGCUAUCAGCAUAACAACAAUAGAUAUAGUAAAAUAUAACUUUUAAUUAAUUAUUAUCAUUGAAAAAUGUGUACUAAAGGUCUGCAACAUUAAUAAUUUCUAUUUACGACUAAACAAAGUCUGUUAAAAAGUAGCAAAAACAUAUGUUAAUUAUAAUAUUUUGUAACUGUGUAACAACAGUACUCUGUAAUCAUUUGUUGAUUAAAAUUACAAUUAUUUUCGCGUA